AGCGAACGUUAGCGGCGCGCCUAACACAUGCAAGUCGCACGAGAAAGGGAGCAAUCCCCGGUACAGUGGCGCACGGGUGAGUAACACGUAGAUGACCUUCCCUGGAGUGGUGGAUAACCUGCCGAAAGGCGGGCUAAUACAGCAUGGGACCACAUGGUUUUGACCGAGUGGUGAAAGCGGGCCUCUGUUCACAAGCUCGCGCUCUGGGAUGGGUCUGCGUCCCAUCAGCUAGUUGGUGAGGUAAUGGCUCACCAAGGCAUCGACGGGUAGCUGGUCUGAGAGGAUGACCAGCCACACUGGAACUGAGACACGGUCCAGACUCCUACGGGAGGCAGCAGUGGGGAAGUCUUGCGCAAUGGGCGAAAGCCUGACGCAGCGACGCCGCGUGGGUGAUGAAGGCCUCGUGUAG
rnacentral:rRNA from 1 species